UUGGUUGGUAGGACCUUCCAUGUCUGUCA
rnacentral:piRNA from 1 species